UUUCUACAGUGUGUGUGUGUGUAUACAUCGAUUAUGCUUUCUUCAGGUGGGUGUGUGUAUACGCAUUGCUUUCUCAGGUGUGUGUGUGUAUACAGCAGUUGCUUCUCCGUUGUGUGUGUGUGUGUAUACAGUGAUAUGCUUUCUCAGGUGUGGUGUAUCUGCAGUGAUAUGUUUUAUCAGGUGUGUGGUGUGUGUAUACAGCGAUAUGCUUUUCUCAGGUGUGUGUGUGUAUACAGCGAUAUGCUUUCUCAGGUGUGUGUGUGUAUACAGCAUAUGCUUUUCUCAGGUGUGUGUGUGUCUGCAGCGAUCUGCUUUCUCAGGUGGUGUGUGUGUAACGUGAUAUGCUUUCUCAGGUGUGUGUGUUGUAUACAAGCAAUAUGCUUUCUCAGGUGUGUGUGUGUUACAGCGUCUGCUUUCUCAGGUGGUGUGUGUGUAUACCGUGUAUGCGUUUCUCAGGUGUGUGUGUAUCUGCAGUGAUAUGUUUUCUCAGGUGUGGUGUGUGUCAUCACGAUAUGUUUUCUCAGGUGGUGUGUGUAUCUGCAUGAUAUGUUUUCUCAGGUGUGUGUGUAUCUGCAGUGAUAUGCUUUCUCAGGUGUGUGUGUAUCUGCAGUGAUAUGCUUUCUCAGGUGUGUGUGUAUCUGCAGUGAUAUGCUUUCUCAAGUGUGUGUGUAUCUGCAGUGAUAUGUUUUCUCAGGUGUGUGUGUGUGUAUACAGCAGUCUGCUUUCUCAGCCCUGGGUCAGACUGAGUGGAGGUUACAAGAAGAGCAGAACAGUCAGGAAGUGAGACUGAUAUCACCAUAGUAAGUAGUGU
rnacentral:lncRNA from 1 species